rnacentral:lncRNA from 1 species
UUUAGAGUUAUAAAUGUUUUGUGCCAGUGAAAUAAUGGUUGAAAAAUCUCUAUACAUAUGUCAUUUUAAAAUAACACCCAACUUCUAUAUAUAGUCAAUACAUAUGUGCAUGUUAUAUUCUAGACUAAAUAUUAAUAUAGAAAAUAUUUUUUUUAGUCUACAAGCAAAUAUUGUAGAGCAAGUAUGCAUUAUACAAAAUAAUAUAUAUUUAAAAUCCAUACACAAAAACAUAAAAGUUGUUAUAGGCCUCUUUCUGACACAUGCACACUCCGC